AAAACAUGUCUUUUUGAAAAUAAUAUAAAGUCUAAUCUGCCCACUGAUUAUAAAUUAAAGGGCUGCAGUAUAUUGACUGUACAAAGGUAGCAUAAUCAUUAGUCAUUUAAUUGAUGACUUGUAUGAAAGAUUGAAUGAGAUAUAUACUGUCUCUAAUUUAAUUAUAAAAUUUAAUUUUUUUAUUAAAAAGUUAAGAUAUUUUAAAAAGACGAGAAGACCCUAUAGAGUUUAAUUGAUUAUUAAUUUGAUUUUAUUUUGAAUAAUAAUAAUAAUAAUUAAAUUUAAUAGUUUAUUUUAUUGGGGUGAUAAAAAAAUAAAUAAAACUUUUUUUAAUAGAAAACAUUUAUAAGUGAAUAAAUGAUCCAAUAAUAUUGAUUAUAAGAAAAAAUUACCUUAGGGAUAACAGCGUAAUUUUUUUUUUUAGUUCAAAUAAGAAAAAAAGUUUGCGACCUCGAUGUUGGAUUAAGAUAAAAUUUAAAUGUAGAAGUUUAAAAUUUUGAUCUGUUCGAUCAUUAAAAUCUUACAUGAUCU
rnacentral:rRNA from 1 species